CUCGUCGAAGGCCCUGGCCCUGCUCAGGGCGUCCUUGCUCAGCACGUACCCCUUGGCGAUCAUCGUCGUCACCACCUCCUGGGUCAUCGUCACCGCCUCCAUCGGAGUGAUGGACAGCUCGUUGGCGUGGAAAUUCUGCCCCGGGGUAUGAAUUUCGGAAGAAUCGAUCAAUGUGACGAUACCUUACUUUGCUUCUUUCGAUAACAAUAUUUCCGGAAGAACUGAUGAAUUGAUUACCGCGUGCCCGUCGUCGUCUCCAGCGUUCCAGGAGGGUCUCGCCCAAACAUCGUACGAGCCAUCCUCGUAGUGCCCCCAUCGAUCUAUGCAGACGGCUUGAUCUGCUAUCAUCGACCCCUGCGACAGACAGACAGUCAAAGCAGGAAGGAGCUCAAGAUGACU
rnacentral:lncRNA from 1 species